CUCAUGACACAUCUCACUCAGGUAGGUGCAUCUCUCAGCAGCUCAUGACACAUCUCACUCAGGUAGGUGCAUCUGUCAGCAGCUCAUGACACAUCUCACUCAGGUAGGUGCAUCUGUCAGCAGCUCAUGACACAUCUCACUGAGGUAGGUGCACCUGUCAGCAGCUCAUGACACAUCUAACUGAGGUAGGUGCAUCUGCCAGCAGCUCAUGACACAUCUCACUCAGGUAGGUGCAUCUGUCAGCAGCUCAUGACACAUCUCACUCAGGUAGGUGCAUCUGUCAGCAGCUCAUGACACAUCUCACUCAGGUAGGUGCAUCUCUCAGCAGCUCAUGACACAUCUCACUGAGGUAGGUGCAUCUGUCAGCAGCUCAUGACACAUCUCACUGAGGUAAGUGCACCUGUCAGCAGCUCAUGACACAUCUAACUGAGGUAGGUGCAUCUGUCAGCAGCUCAUGACACAUCUCACUGAGGUAAGUGCAUCUCUCAGCAGCUCAUGACACAUCUCACUGAGGUAGGUGCAUCUGUCAGCAGCUCAUGACACAUCUAACUGAGGUAGGUGCAUCUGUCAGCAGCUCAUGACACAUCUCACUGAGGUAAGUGCAUCUCUCAGCAGCUCAUGACACAUCUCACUGAGGUAGGUGCAUCUGUCAGCAGCUCAUGACACAUCUCACUGAGGUAAGUGCACCUGUCAGCAGCUCAUGACACAUCUAACUGAGGUAGGUGCAUCUGCCAGC